GAAUCCCCAACGGCCUGGGCCUGCUCUCCAACGGACGUUACUGGUUGAGUUUUAUAAGCAAGGGAGUUAGUAAUGAACCACAUGUCAGCUAUAGAGUUGGGAUUAUUUAUAACUGUAGGGCCUCCAGGCCAGCUGUAGGCCACCACACCUGGGAGUAAAGUGGCAAGACAGAUAAAGCCAGAUACCACUGAGGCAAUCAACGAGCUCAAAACAGUGUCUCCACCGACCAACAAGAAGCAAACACAUAUCACUGGCCAGAGAUGUGGGCGGUGCAGAGAUCUCAACCAAUCAACAGUCCAAGCCCGAUAAUUUUGAACUCCCUAUAUAAAGAGUUGCCAUAAUAAACUCUUUGCUGUUUGUCACAUCAUCAUUGGACUUGAGUCAUGAAUCUGUCUCCAACCCAUGACUUCACAUAAAAAUUCCUGAGUACAGAUCGUGAGCCCUCUCUACCUGGUAACCCGCAAGAGGGACGAUGUCCACCUUUGCCCAGAUCAAGCAGAAGAUCGCUCAUGCAGUAGCCCUUGUCCAGUCAGGACAGGACCAGAGGUGAGAAAUGUGCUUUACUCUGCAGCCAGGAGCCACGGUCUGUCCUGGAACCUUUGGCAGAAAGUGCCUGGUGAGACUCGAGGCCAUCCACUGGGAUUCUGGAAUCAAACCUACAGAGGGUCUCAAGCCGACUACACUCCCACACAGAAGGAGAUCCUGGCAGCCUAUGAAGGAGUUCAAGACACCUCAGAGGUGACUGGCACAGAUGCACAACUCCUCCUGGCACCCCGACUGCCAGUGCUGGUGUGGAUUUUCAAAGGAAAGUUUCCUUCUCCCCACCAUGCCAGCAAUGCCACAUGGAGCAAAUGGAUUGCCCUCAACACACAACAUGCCAGUACUGGAAACCCAAAUUGCUCUGGGAUCUUGGAGGUAAUUAUGAAUUGGCCUGAAGGUGAAAACUUUGGUCUACCAGAAAAAGAGGAGCACAAACAGGUGUCGCUUGCUGCAGAAGCUCCACCUUACAACCAACUGCCACAAGAAGAAGCAUGCUACACUCUUUUUACUGACAGCUCCUGUUGUAUUGUAAAGAUGAACUGAAAGGGAAAAGCAGCUGUAUGGAGCCCAACACGACAGGCUGCAGAAGCUACCAAAGGAGAAGAUGGAAAUAUACAACUUGCUGAACUCAAAGCCAUCCAGUUGGCCCUGGACAUUGCUGAGUGAGAGAAGUGGCCAGAACUUUCCCUCUACACUGACUCAUGGAUGGUAGCCAAUGCUCUGUGGAGCUGUUUCCUGGCUGGAAAAGUGGAAAAAGGCCAAUUGGCAGCAUAGGGGAAAACUAUUCUGGGCUGCUGACGAAUGGCAAGAUGUUGCCAUUUGGGUAGAGAAGCUACCUGUGAAAGUCUGUCACGUCCAUGUCCCCAAGAGUCAGGCUAAUGAGAAGCACCGAAAUAAUGAACAGGCGGAUCAGGCUGAAAAAAUCAAGUUGUUUUGUUCAAGAUAGAUUUGGAUUGGUAACACAAGGGACAGUUAUUCCUAGCUUGAUGGACCCAUGAUGCCUCAGGCCAUCAGGGCAGAGAUGCCACCUAUAAGUGGGCAUGAGACCGAGGGGUAGAUCAAGCCAUGGACAGCAUCUCUCAGGUUAUCCAUAAUGGUGAGACAUGAGCUGCGAUCAAGCAAGCUAAGCGGGUGAAGCCCCUGUGGUAUGGGGGCCGUGGUCCAAAUGUAAGUGGGGAGGCCUGGCAGACUACAUCACACUGCCUCAAACCCUCCAAGGCAAGUGCUACAUGCUCACAGUGGUAGAAGCCACCGCAGCAUGGCUGGAGACCUAGCCUGUGCCUCACACUGCUACCCAGAACACCAUCCUGGGCCUUGGAAAGCAGGUCCUGUGGAAGGAUGGUACCUGCCACACAAUUGAGUCCAACAAAGGCACUCAUUUCACGGACAGCCUUAUAAACACCUGGGCUAGAGAACAUGGCGUCGAGUGGGUGAAUCACAUUCCCUUCUAUGCACCAGCUGCCAGGAAAGUUGAGCGGUGCAAUGAACUCUUAAAAACAAUAUUGAAAGCAAUGGGAGGCAUGGGAUCUUCAAGCAGUGGCAGCUGCAUCUAGCAAAAGCUACAUGGUUAGUUAACACCAGAAGUUCCACCAAUGAAGCUGCCUAUUCCUGAUCCAAACCCCUGUGCACAGCAGAUGGAGACAAGGAUCUGGUGGUGCAUAUGAGAGAGAGGGAGCCCCAGCUGCUGUUCAACUGGAGCCUCACCAGAGCUGCCAUCUCCAGGAUACUGCAAUAGACAGGUGAGAACGUGGGAAAACCAGACCCCCACCUUCUCUCUCCCCCUGAGGCUGCCAUUAACCCCUGGGGUGGCUCACAGCUCCCAUCGCUGGCCCCCUGAAGCCGCCUGAGCCAACACCACCCCCUGGAACCAGGGCAGAGUCACUGCAGCCACUCUGCCUCGACGUGAGCCAACAGCAGCCUCUGCCAGUUGUGAUCAUAACUACAGCAAAGGCAGAACUGCUCAGUGGGUGAGAAGAAUCCGUGAUUAGUUUGGAGGGAUGCUGUUGUUUGUUCUCUCUUGUUACCUCUUUCUCUCUCUGUAUAUUUAUAUAUGUGCUAGUAAAGAAAAAAA